rnacentral:rRNA from 1 species
CUACGGAACUCCUACGGGAGGCAGCAGUGGGGAAUAUUGCACAAUGGGGGAAACCCUGAUGCAGCCAUGCCGCGUGUGUGAAGAAGGCCUUCGGGUUGUAAAGCACUUUCAGCGAGGAGGAAAGGUUGGUAGCUAAUAACUGCCAGCUGUGACGUUACUCGCAGAAGAAGCACCGGCUAACUCCGUGCCAGCAGCCGCGGUAAUACGGAGGGUGCAAGCGUUAAUCGGAAUUACUGGGCGUAAAGCGCACGCAGGCGGUUGGAUAAGUUAGAUGUGAAAGCCCCGGGCUCAACCUGGGAAUUGCAUUUAAAACUGUCCAGCUAGAGUCUUGUAGAGGGGGGUAGAAUUCCAGGUGUAGCGGUGAAAUGCGUAGAGAUCUGGAGGAAUACCGGUGGCGAAGGCGGCCCCCUGGACAAAGACUGACGCUCAGGUGCGAAAGCGUGGGGAGCAAACAGGAUUAGAUACCCCGGUAGUCCUCUUCGA